rnacentral:rRNA from 1 species
GAUGAACGCUGGCGGCGUGCCUAAUACAUGCAAGUCGAGCGAAUGGAUUAAGAGCUUGCUCUUAUGAAGUUAGCGGCGGACGGGUGAGUAACACGUGGGUAACCUGCCCAUAAGACUGGGAUAACUCCGGGAAACCGGGGCUAAUACCGGAUAACAUUUUGAACCGCAUGGUUCGAAAUUGAAAGGCGGCUUCGGCUGUCACUUAUGGAUGGACCCGCGUCGCAUUAGCUAGUUGGUGAGGUAACGGCUCACAAAGGCAACGAUGCGUAGCCGACCUGGGAGGGUGAGCGGCCACACUGGGAUUGAGACACGGCCCAGACUCCUACGGGAGGCAGCAGUAGGGAAUCUUCCGCAAUGGACGAAAGUCUGGCGGAGCAGCGCCGCGUGAGUGAUGAAUGCUUUCGGGUCGUAAAACUCUGUUGUUAGGGAAGAACAAGUGCUAGUUGAAUAAGCUGGCACCUUGACGGUACCUAACCAGAAAGCCACGGCUAACUACGUGCCAGCCGCCGCCGUAA